rnacentral:tRNA from 1 species
GCCGGAAUAGCUCAGUUGGUAGAGCAGAGGACUGAAAAUCCUCGUGUCCCCAGUUCAAGUCUGGGUUCUGGCA